UGCAGUCGAGGGGCAGCGGGUUCUAGCAAUAGAAUGCCGGCGACCGGCGCACGGGUGCGUAACGCGUAUACAAUUUGCCUUAUACUGGGAGAUAGCCCGGAGAAAUUCGGAUUAAUAUCCUAUAAUAUUGUUGGAUCGCAUGGUUUGACAAUUAAAGCUACGGCGGUAUAAGAUGAGUAUGCGUCUGAUUAGCUAGUUGGUGAGGUAAUGGCUCACCAAGGCUACGAUCAGUAGGGGGCCUGAGAGGGUUAUCCCCCACACUGGUACUGAGACACGGACCAGACUCCUACGGGAGGCAGCAGUGAGGAAUAUUGGUCAAUGGAGGCAACUCUGAACCAGCCAUGCCGCGUGUAGGACGAAUGCCCUAUGGGUUGUAAACUACUUUUAUUGGGGAAGAAACCUUUCUACGUGUAGAGAGCUGACGGUACCCAAGGAAUAAGGACCGGCUAACUCCGUGCCAGCAGCCGCGGUAAUACGGAGGGUCCAAGCGUUAUCCGGAAUCAUUGGGUUUAAAGGGUGCGCAGGCGGUAAAGUAAGUCAGUGGUGAAAUCUCUCGGCUCAACCGAGAAACUGCCAUUGAUACUGCUAUACUUGAAUAUAGUCGAAGUGGGCGGAAUGUGACAUGUAGCGGUGAAAUGCUUAGAUAUGUCACAGA
rnacentral:rRNA from 1 species